CGCAGUGUUUCAGGAAAAGCAGAAGAGGAGCGGCGCCAGAGCCUGGCCCGUCACUAUUUGCCUUCUUAUAUGCCGGUGGCUUCUGACGAACAGACGGACUCGGGGGGCUUCGCGCAACACGCUCUACAGAUUACACUCCAUACAAACUGAAACCUGUCACAUGACUGGGAGCAUUGGGAAAGCGGGUGACGCAACUCCUGUAAAAUGGCAAGAUGGCAGCCAUUUGCUCAGUUUGGACUCAACGAACCGGCUCUCUUCCAUUCCAAGAAACACAGGAAAUGAAAUUACAGCAGCAAGGAGACAAUUCCAAACAUCAGGAGAAGGAAGAAACCAGGACCACAAAUUCGGAAGCAUUUUUCUGUCAGGCCUGGGUUCAUAACAAAUCAAAGCGUUGCACCAUCAAGGACGAAGCAUACAGCUUCACCAGAAGGAGACGUGCCCCCCCCUUUGCAGUCCUGCAGUCAUAUCAAACAAAUAUUUACCAUGGGCCAUGGGGCAUUACUGGGGCUGCUGUUGAAACAGGUGUGUGCCAACAUUCCUGUCUGGCAAGUUCCUUUUUCAAAUUAUGUGAACUGUCUCUUCAUGACCCAAAAAUAGAUUGUAAUUUACACUAAACUAUAAAAUUAUCAAAAUUAACAAUCCCAAAUCUGGCGAACCUAACAUACAAUUUUAUGAUAACAUUAAACCCAUAUAAAAUUCACAUGCGUUUACUUGCCUUUGACAGUAGGCUGGGGUAAAACCAGACCCCAGGCCCCAGUGAAGCGCCGCUCAAUCUGUUAACAGAACCACUAAGUACUCACUUUAACUUCUGACUGGUGGUGGGUGUGGAAAAAAAACAUUACACCAUGUCAGCCAUAAAAUUAGGUUGACAAGGAAUGGUGCAUAUUUUUAAAAAAUGCAUGUAACAAUGGUUAAUCACAUUUUAGGUGCUUCAAAGUUGUCCUGCUAUCAGGGGCACAUCCGAAUGGAGAAGUAAAAAUAAAAACCCAUGAUGCAGCAAAUGUUUCCUUUGUGGUUAACCCCAUUGCAUGAUAUUUGGUGGUAGAUCAAGAAACAAAUUAAAUGUUGAGAUACAAUAUGUUAUAUUGUGCAUGAAUUCAAGGAAUAAAGACACGCCCUUGCACAAAAAUAAGACGUAAUUCUAUUCAAUGGCUUGCCCAGCAGCAUGUGCA
ensembl:lncRNA